GGCAAUGUUCCCAAGAUAGAUCAUAGGAAGCUAUCUUAAGUUGAGCUAUUGCUCACUCUAGCCAGAAGUUCUACAUUUUGAUUGGUAGUGGCCCUCCUGGAUCUUGAAGGACGACAUCAGGAAUUGAAACUGGGGAUAUAAUGAAUUAGACCUAAACUUAUGAAAUGAUUAGCAUUUUAGAAAUACCGAGCCAAGUCUCCUUCAGCAUACAGAAAGUUGGAUUAAAAACCACAGAUUCAAGAGGCCCUUCUAGCCAGCGCAAAAGCACAUCAUUCAGGCUUUGGGUCACCUUCUAGUAGAAGUGUCACCUGCCUUGACAAUGCAGUAAAGUGAGUUACAAACCUAAGAAAUAACCAAAGAUCCCAUUUCUGAUUAGUCCUUUUAUAUCAACAGUUUUGCAGAGGUUCUUCUGGAUUAAUGUACUACAGCAACCCUAUUUGGAAAACUGGCAAGGAAAUUUCAUUCAUGUUUGUUGAAUCCAGUGGACUAUCCUGCUUUUUGCUUUUUAAAUUUUGGGCAGAAGCAAGCACAAGGAAUAUUGAUAAGCAGGUUCAUCCUAGAAGAGAAAUACAAGAAGAAGAAAAU